rnacentral:rRNA from 1 species
GCAGCAGUGGGGAAUAUUGGGCAAUGGAGGAAACUCUGACCCAGCGACGCCGCGUGAGGGAUGAAGGCCUUCGGGUUGUAAACCUCUUUCAGUAGGGAAGAAGCGAAAGUGACGGUACCUACAGAAGAAGCACCGGCUAACUAUGUGCCAGCAGCCGCGGUAAUACAUAGGGUGCAAGCGUUGUCCGGAAUUAUUGGGCGUAAAGAGCUCGUAGGUGGUUCGAUACGUCGGAUGUGAAAAUCAGGGGCUCAACCCCUGACCUGCAUCCGAUACGGUCGAGCUAGAGUUUGGUAGGGGAGACUGGAAUUCCUGGUGUAGCGGUGGAAUGCGCAGAUAUCAGGAGGAACACCGAUGGCGAAGGCAGGUCUCUGGGCCAAUACUGACACUGAGGAGCGAAAGCGUGGGGAGCGAA